rnacentral:rRNA from 1 species
UACGUAGGGUGCAAGCGUUGUCCGGAAUUAUUGGGCGUAAAGAGCUCGUAGGCGGUCAGUCGCGUCUGCUGUGAAAACUCGGGGCUUAACUCCGGGCCUGCAGUGGGUACGGGCUGACUAGAGUGCGGUAGGGGAGACUGGAAUACCUGGUGUAGCGGUGAAAUGCGCAGAUAUCAGGAGGAACACCGGUGGCGAAGGCGGGUCACUGGGCCGCAACUGACGCUGAGGAGCGAAAGCAUGGGGAGCGAACAGG